rnacentral:rRNA from 1 species
CCCCAGACUCCUACGGGAGGCAGCAGUGGGGAAUAUUGCGCAAUGGGGGGAAACCCUGACGCAGCAACGCCGCGUGAGUGAGGAAGUCUCUCGGUAUGUAAAGCUCUAUCAGCGGGGAAGAAGGAAGACGGUACCCGACUAAGAAGCCCCGGCUAACUACGUGCCAGCAGCCGCGGUAAUACGUAGGGGGCGAGCGUUAUCCGGAUUUACUGGGUGUAAAGGGAGCGUAGACGGCGUCGCAAGUCUGAAGUGAAAGCCCGUGGCUCAACCGCGGAACCGCUUUGGAAACUGCGAGGCUGGAGUGCUGGAGAGGUAAGCGGAAUUCCUGGUGUAGCGGUGAAAUGCGUAGAUAUCAGGAGGAACACCAGUGGCGAAGGCGGCUUACUGGACUGUAACUGACGUUGAGGCUCGAAAGCGUGGGGAGCAAACAGGAUUAGAUACCCCAGUAU